rnacentral:rRNA from 1 species
AAAUCCGCUUUGAUAAUGCUGGGAUGUGAUGGGGAGCGAAAUUUAGUAGCGAAGUAGCUGAUUUCACACUGUCAAGAAAAGUCUCUAUCGAGGUUAAAGGUACCCGUACCGCAAACCGACACAGGUGGGUGAGGAGAGUAUCCUAAGGCCAGCGAGAGAACUGUUGUUAAGGAACUCGGCAAAAUGACCCCGUAACUUAGGGAUAAGGGGUGCCACCAUCAGGUGGCCGCAGAGAAUAGGCCCAAGCGACUGUUUACCAAAAACAUAGGUUUCUGCUAAGUCGCAAGACGAUGUAUAGGAGCUGACGCCUGCCCGGUGCUGGAAGGUUAAGGGGAUCUGUUAGAGCAAUCGAAGCAGUGAACUUAAGCCCCAGUAAACGGCGGCCGUAACUAUAACGGUCCUAAGGUAGCGAAAUUCCUUGUCGGGUAAGUUCCGACCCGCACGAAAGGCGUAACGAUUUGGGCACUGUCUCAACAACAGACUCGGUGAAAUUGUAAUUCCGGUGAAGAUGCCGGAUACCUGCGACAGGACGGAAAGACCCCAUGGAGCUUUACUGUAGCUUGACAUUGGGUCUUGGUACUACAUGUACAGGAUAGGUGGGAGGCUUUGAAACCAGGACGCCAGUUUUGGCGGAGCCAUCCUUGGGAUACCACCCUUGUAGUACUGGGACUCUAACCAUAG